UCACCUUUUGCCUUUCAGGGCUGGAGAGCCGAGCCCCGCUUGGGCUGUAUGCCAGAUGGUUAGCAGACUGGAACCAGAGGGCCGGGUUAUUUCUUUUAAAGAAGGAAAAGGAAUUGGCAGCAGGAGUGAGCUUAUUAAAUUGUCUCGGUCUGCUUUUAUUAAUGCGUUUGCAGAAUUGGCAGGAUGCUUUGCCCAUGCACAGUUGCUGAUGAUAUUUAUUACAUCUGACUGCACUUCAUUGAGCAGAGGGCUUCACACUGAUCCCCUGCCCCUACACACUUUCUCCCAUCCUGUGCCUUGAUGAUCCCAUGGGUUUGAAGCUCAUCUGUGGAGCAGUCUUGGCCCUAGAGCAUCUUUAGAGAAGAGAGAUGAACCAGCAAGCGUUGCUGGUGCGGAGAUGUGCUCAACUGAUAUCUCAAAUAGACAGAAAGAGAGAGCAAGUAGUUGGAGCAGACACAGAACCACGGCUUGAGGGCAGAGCCUUAGAACACUCAAAUGAGUACUCACUGGAACAGAAGAAAGUGUACAGACCAUCUUGAAAUGUUUGGAGUGUUGCAUGUCUCAUUUGAAAGUUGUUGUAGGACAGUGCAAGUCUGGUCAGUAUAUACUUUGCAAACAGUCACGUGUACUUUGUCCAUAAGUUGUCUUGUUCAAUGUGUCAAAGAUAUAAUUUAUUCUUAUUACUGGGUUCAUUAGCUGAGUGUGCUAAAUACUUUUGACCUUCGAUAAGUGCCUGGUUGUUAUUGACCUGUAUCUUCAGCAGUUCCUGUCACUUUAAGAACACCCUGCUGCUUGUAAGGGAGUAUGCUUGGUGCACCUUUGCACCACACAAUGCAGCACCAUGUUUGCGACCUCUCUACUACCCCUGAGUAAACUGUUUUCCAGGUAAGCACGUUGCUGUGCAUUGGCCAGAAGUCCCAGGAGCAAAGUAGCCAUGUUAGCAAACCCCUCCUGUGGGAGUGCAGGCUAACUAAAUGUCCUGUAUAAUGGACCGUGACGAACACCUCUGAGGCUGACUUGCUGGAAAUUACUGUCUCCAUGUGGUGUUCUUCUUGGCUAUGGCUGGUCUUAGCUUUUUGGAUUAGCUAGUUUUCAUCUGCUUCUUUUUAUUUUCCAUCAGAAGAGAUUAUUUUAAUCUAAACUGUUGAUAUCUUUGUUGAUCUCAAAAGAUCAAUUGAUGAUAUCCAUUGCUGAUAUCUUUGAACCAAAUCAAAAUUACAUUUCUAGUCUGAUUUCUUCGCUGCCUACCUGAACUUCUGUAGUGCCUGAAGGCAGCUAAAACAGUGCUCUUUUGGGAUGUAGGCUUCCUGACAAGUUGGUGUCUCCCUCUGAAGUGGUGCAGUACCACAUGGGAACAAUAAAAUUGGCUUACGGUAAACAGCAGGGAGGAAGUCCUUCAUAAUGGAUUGCUGAAAUCUUGAGCAGGAGUAGGAAGGACUUCCUGGUCCAUCUUGCAGUUUGCACUCAAAGCAGCUACAGGGAUGAAAUGCCCACUGCCUGGUAAUGUCAUGAUAGUCAGUGACCCUGAAAGUGCCUUAUUGCGAGAACAAUCCUUGUAGAGCAUGUCUGCUCAUGUGAGUACAACCACAGUUGGUGCCAAACCAGAGGCUAGCAGAGGAGUCACAACAGCUUGGCAGCCCAAGUUUCUCAGCAGGGUUUUCUCAGGCCAUGCUUUUUUUGUUCCUGAGCACAGCUUGGGCUCCUGGGUUGAACUGCUUUUAGAGCUGACUCAGGCAGGUCUACCUGCGCUCCCACAACUAAUAGUGUAGAAGUAUGCUUGAAACUUCUGAAGACAUCUUAUUGCUGACGAAGGUCUGCAAAUGCCUCCCCAGUUCUCCUACCCCUCUUUUGUACCCACUGUGCCUCCUGUGUGCCAAUGGUGGCAACUUUGGGGUGCCCCAGCAUUGGUAUGCAAGGAAGAGCUGGUGGGAGAGCUACCAUUUCUUGUUACCCUCUGCUGUUCUAGCUGCAAAUGCUAAUGAUGUCAAUAGGAGUAGAACUCUGAAGCGUUCUCCAGCCAUUACUUCCUUUCAGACAAGUGCUUAUUUGGUAACUCAUAGGCCAGCUGAAUGAUUUUUGAAAAGCAGACCAGUGUGUAAUUCUUAUCACACUUGUGCGUUCUCUUGCUGCUGUAUCUUUGCUGUACUUGGAAAUGAAGACAGAGUAAUUACCUAACAAUUAUCUUGUCAGCUUGUAGCAGAAUGUGAAAUUCGAAUUUGGGUAAGGAAUGAGAGUGCAU
rnacentral:lncRNA from 7 species